rnacentral:lncRNA from 12 species
UUCUUUUGAGACAUCACUCCAACGUUCCCAGAAUUCUAUGCACGGUUUUUUUUUUGGACGUAAACACAUAUUAAUUGAAUUUCCCUUAUACUUUUAUCAAGUUAAAUGUGUGUGUGAUGUAUUUAGAUGUAGACCUAAUCAUAACUUUUAAAGAUGUGUUGCAUGUGAUGCUUUCACUGGAAUUAAGCCCAUGUGCCCCCCCACCCCACAGGUAAAUGCUCAUACCUGUCACAUAUUUGUCGUUAUUUAUGGUUAGCACGCCAUUUACAUUAGCUUUGCGAAUCGGUUCUACAGAAUGAUUCAAAAGAAUUGGUUCAACAUAAUGAUUCAUUCGCAAAUCGGUCAUCACCAGCAGCAGUGAGAGUGAGAGCAAGAGGGAGGAUUCCGGCUUCAGAUCCACUACAGACCCCACGGAGCCUGGACGAACCCACAAACAGCGCUAGCACGGGAUACAAACCAAAGCCAAACACUGCGGAUUACAGGGUGUUUAUCAAGAAGGCGCGUUUUUGGAGACAUCCGAUGAAAAGAAUAGGAUAUUUCAAGGAUCUCAUAUUAUGCAGGUAAGACAAGCUCUUGUACUCCCUCUCUUUCUCUCUGAAAUGGAUUUCAAAUUGAUGGGGGGAAGUGACAACCUAAACUUAAUUCACCAUUUACUGAAUGUGAAUUGGGUAUCCUGAAUAAAGCAGAUCACAUUCUGUUCCAAAGCCUGUCAGCUGCCUUUGGGCUGCCUGUAUGACAAUGGAGCUGAAUUUUAAUUCUUCCUUUUCUCAUUUGAUGUAUUAUUCAUUUAUGUAAAGAACAAAAACACUUUUUAAUGAUGUAAGUGUUUGAGUUUGGGUUAUAGCUGUAAUUUUAGGUGAUCACCCCCUCAAUUUAGUGGCAUCAA